rnacentral:rRNA from 1 species
AACGAACGCUGGCGGCAGGCUUAACACAUGCAAGUCGAACGCCCCGCAAGGGGAGUGGCAGACGGGUGAGUAACGCGUGGGAACGUACCUUUCAGUUCGGAAUAACUCAGGGAAACUUGUGCUAAUACCGGAUACGUCCGUAAGGAGAAAGAUUUAUCGCUGAAAGAUCGGCCCGCGUUGGAUUAGCUAGUUGGUGGGGUAAUGGCCUACCAAGGCGACGAUCCAUAGCUGGUCUGAGAGGAUGAUCAGCCACACUGGGACUGAGACACGGCCCAGACUCCUGCGGGAGGCAGCAGUGGGGAAUAUUGGACAAUGGGCGAAAGCCUGAUCCAGCCAUGCCGCGUGAGUGAUGAAGGCCCUAGGGUUGUAAAGCUCUUUCACCGAUGAAGAUAACGACGGUAGUCGGAGAAGAAGCCCCGGCUAACUUCGUGCCAGCAGCCGCGGUAA